rnacentral:snoRNA from 1 species
AGCACUAUUUUUAAACCUGUAGGUGGGGUUUCUUGCCACCAUGGGUUACGCUGUAGUGCAAAAAAAAAUUCUUGGCUCUUCUGUGCACAGCUGAUCUUGUGCCAUUCAGCUGAUGCUGUUGAAAGCUAAGGAACAGAA